GAAUAAGUUAUGCUACAGAAACUAAAGAAAUCCCGUCAAACAAAUGGUGAUCGAGUGUGGAUCAAGAACUGGAACGUAGCCUCUUUGUGUCCACUGUGGAAAGGACCCCAGACUGUCGUUCUGAGCACUCCCACCGCUGUGAAGGUAGAAGGAAUCCCAGCCUGGAUCCACCACAGCCAUGUAAAACCUGCAGCGCCUGAAACCUGGGAGGCAAGACCAAGCCCAGACAACCCCUGCAGAGUGACCCUGAAGAAGACGACAAGCCCUGCUCCAGUCACACCCGGAAGCUGACUGGUCCACGCACGGCCGAAGCCUGAGGAAGCUCAUCAUGAGAUUCAUUUUUCUUAAAUUUUGGACUUAUACAGUAAGGGCUUCAACUGAUCUUACUCAAACUGGGGACUGUUCCCAGUGUACUCAUCAGGUCACCGAAGUAGGACAGCAAAUUAAAACAAUCUUUCUGUUCUAUAGUUAUUAUGAAUGUAUGGAAACAAUAAAAGAAACUUGUUUGUAUAAUGCCACUCAGUACAAGGUAUGUAGCCCGAGAAAUGACCGACCUGAUGUGUGUUAUAACCCAUCUGAGCCCCCUGCACCACCGUUUUUGAAAUAAGAAUAAGAACUGGCCUUUUCCUAGGUGAUACAAGUAAAAUAAUAACUAGAACAGAAGAAAAAGAAAUCCCCAAGCAAAUAACUUUAAGAUUUGAUGCUUGUGCAGCCAUUAAUAGUAAAAAGCUAGAAAUAGGAUGUGGUUCUCUUAACUGAGAAAGGAGCUAAAGAGUAGAAAAUAAAUAUGUUUGUCAUGAGUCAGGGGUUUGUAAAAAUUGUGCCUAUUGGCCAUGUGUUAUUUCGGCUACUUAAAAAAAGAACAAAAAGGACCCGGUUUAUCUUCAGAAGGGGGAAGCCAACCCCUCCUGUGCUGCCGGUCACUGUAACCCACUAGAACUAAUAAUUACCAAUCCCCUAGGUCACCGUUGGAAAAAGGGAGAACGUGUAACCCUGGGGAUCAAUAGGACAGGGUUAAACCCUCAAGUUGCCAUUUUAAUUAGAGGGGAGGUCCACAAGUGCUCUCCCA
rnacentral:lncRNA from 10 species